rnacentral:lncRNA from 1 species
AAAAUUCUUGGUCUCCAAGAAUAUUACAAGUGAUGGCUGUUUUUUUGUUUUUUGCUAAUAUAGAUACGGAUAUAUUAAAAUUUAAACAGUAACAUUAUUACAAAGUGGAACCAUUCGUGCUAUAGUAGUGUCUGAAUGAUCCUUAUUGAAAGCAGAUAAAAUAAAGGGUGGGGGAGACAUAAAAUAUAUUGGACUCCACUGCAAUUGGCCUUCAAAGGAAUUAAGGUCAUGCCAUGUUUAGCCAGUUCGUCUACUACGCCAUUUGCCUCCCGGUAGAUGUGAUCAAGUGUGGCUGUCUACAGUUGGUGUAGUAGUAGCCUGCAAUCAAAAAUAAGAUGUGAGUAUGCAUCAUUUACAUUAUGGAGCAUGUAGAUGAGUACCUGGGAGUUUGAUUCAACCUGUAAGGGAAGAAAGAUUAAGUCUUUAGCAAUUUAGAAAUCUAAGAGUAUGGCGCGUAGUUCAGCUUCUAAAGCAGUAGAGCGAAUAAUUGACAUAGUGAAGCCUCUUAUCCAUUGUCCAUGAUGGUUACAGAUGAUUCCUCCUGCGGAAGCGCGUCACAUUUGAGGAUUGAAGGAACCGUCGGUGUUAAGUUUGAAGAUGGGAGGGUCAGGGGGU